rnacentral:rRNA from 1 species
CACCUCUAGCAUAAUAAGUAUUAGAGGCACUGCCUGCCCAGUGACACCAGUUCAACGGCCGCGGUAUACUGACCGUGCAAAGGUAGCAUAAUCACUUGUUCUUUAAAUAGGGACUUGUAUGAAUGGCCACACGAGGGUUUUACUGUCUCUUACUUCUAAUCAGUGAAAUUGACCUCCCCGUGCAGAGGCGGGGAUAAAAAAAUAAGACGAGAAGACCCUAUGGAGCUUCAAUUCAUCAGCCCAAAAGAAAAUCACCUACCCUAAGGGAACAACAAAACUUUUCAUGGGCUGACUAUUUAGGUUGGGGUGACCUCGGAGCAUAAAACAACCUCCGAGUGAUUUUAAACAUAGACCUACCAGUCAAAGUAACACUAUCAAUUAUUGAUCCAAACAAUUGAUCAACGGAACAAGUUACCCUAGGGAUAACAGCGCAAUCCCAUUCAAGAGUCCCUAUCGAAAGUGGGGUUUACGACCUCGAUGUUGGAUCAGGACAUCCUAGUGGUGCAGCAGCUAUUAAGGGUUCGUUUGUUCAACGAUUAAAGUCCU